rnacentral:rRNA from 1 species
GCGGACCAACCUGCCCCAUGCUCCAGAAUAGCUCUUGGAAACGGGUGGUAAUGCUGGAUGCUCCAACUUGACGCAUGUCUUGUUGGGAAAGUGUUUAGUGGCAUGGGAUGGGGUCGCGUCCUAUCAGCUUGUAGGCGGGGUAAUGGCCCACCUAGGCUUCGACGGGUAGCCGGCCUGAGAGGGCGGACGGCCACAUUGGGACUGAGAUACGGCCCAGACUCCUACGGGAGGCAGCAGAC